CCCAGAGCCCUUUGGUAGCUUUUGUUUGCACUGGGCAGAACAGCUUUGAAAGAAUCACUAAGCAGCCUAAGCCAGGCCGCUGACCUUUCCAGUCAGGUUCUGUUGAUGUGACUUUGCGUCUCUCUGUGUUUGAGGCUACUUUGGGGACCUCAUGCAGAUUAAUCCAAGAUUGCCUUCCUCUACAAUCAACAAAAGUAUUCCAUACACCUUGCCCUACCUGUGAAUCCCAGACCUUGGGCUUGUCCCUGCUGCAGAAGCAGAAGCCCAGAGGGCAGUGGUGACCCCCCUCCAGUGCCAGGAGGGCACCCGUGUGCAACCCUCGCUCUGACAGACAUGGCUCCACACAGUCCAUGACACGUCUCCCAGUAAGCGAUGGGAAAAAUAGUUUUGACAGUCCUGGGACUCAACC
rnacentral:lncRNA from 1 species